GGGGUUAUGGCGAAAUUGGUAGACGCGCUAGUUUCAGGUACUAGUGGAGCAAUCCUUGGGAGUUCGAGUCUCCCUAACCCCACCA
rnacentral:tRNA from 1 species